AUGAUACUCAAAACUUUCUUACUGUAUUGAAGAGAUUCACUUGUCUUAGAGGAUUUCCCAAAAAAUUAUAUUCAGAUAAUGGUACACAGUUAGUGUAUGCAAACAAGGAAUUGAGAGAUAUGGUUACUCGGUGGAAUAAGCAUGAAGUGUUCAAUUUUGGAAAAUUUAAUGGUUUAAUCUGGGUAUUCAAUAGAUCAGCAGAUGCCCCUUGGGAAAAUUCUUGCAGUGAAGCGUUAAUUAGAUUAGUCAAGAGAUCUCUCACUAGAAUCAUAGGUGAAUCAGUCAUAUCCUUUGGAGAACUACAGUCUGUUAUGUAUGAGGUGGCCAAUGUAUUGAAUGAACGGCCUAUCGGGUUCAAACCAGGUGAAGAUUUUGAUGAAGGGACUGUAUUGAGACCUAAUGACUUACUACUGGGUCGAUCUACCAUUGAUGCUCCUUGUGGAUUUUGGAAUGAACGGGGAGAAGUAAGUAGAUCAUAUGCAUUUAAGAUUAAGGUCAUUGAUUUAUUUUGGAAAAAUUGGAUGAAGAACUACUUUCCUACUCUAAUUGUACGCCAAAAGUGGCAUGUGAGUGUAAGAAAUGUUCGGAAGGGUGACAUUGUACUUGUUAAUGAUCAUAAUGUAUUAAGAGGAGAAUGGAAGUUAGCGGAAGUUGUAGAAGGUAUACCAGGAAGGGAUGGAAAGAUCAGAGAUGUGUUGUUGAGGUAUAAAAUUAAUGAACCAGGAAAACAGUACAGGGGCCAACAUGACAAGCAAAUGGUAAGAUCAGUACAUAGACUGGUGGUGUUGCUCCCAGUCGAUCAACAAUAGAAGUAUAGAAGCCUUUGAUUUGUGGUGGGGGUAGUGUAAUAUGAUUCUCAUCAUAUUAGAAUUAUAAUGUCAAUGUUGGCACCUUUGAAUGUGGAGCGGGCAGUGUGUGUCGCUGUCAUUGGUUGGAAAGAGGUGUAGACACGGGUUGUAUUCCAGUUACUGUAUAAUUGUUAUUGGCAUAUAUGACAAGAAUUGUAAUUAUUAUUGAGAUACAUAUAUUGUUUUCUUACUUAUUAACAAGUUUGGUAUUGGUUAGUAAUGUGUAUUUGUUUGUCAAGAGGAAGUUUUCUUUUAGGGUCUGUGUAUGUAACACGGAUAUUAUUAUACCGCACUCAGGGUGUAGGGGGAAGGUAGGCAGAGGUACAGUUGGUGCCUGUCAGGGGUGAGUGGCGGUUGUUUGACUGAGCAUAGUUGGGGUAAUGCUGUAAUCAGACAUAUGGUGAAGUCUGCCUUGGCUGAUGAUGGGCGGUCAUUUUGUGAGUACUAUUUUAUAUGUAUCGUGUGUCAUUGCAAUAGUGAAUAAUAGAAUGGGAUAUGUGUUCAUCUUAUGUUAUUCUUCUGUUUACUGGGUGAAGUUACAAGAUAUUGAAGGGAGUUACAUGAUAUUGAGGUAUGCUGUGUUUAUGUUGACAUUAAAUUUGCAGGCUGAAUCAAUCAAUAAAUCAAGAUACAGCAAGUCAG